rnacentral:rRNA from 1 species
UACGAAGGGGGCUAGCGUUGUUCGGAAUUACUGGGCGUAAAGCGCGCGCAGGCGGCUAUCCAAGUCAGUGGUGAAAGCCCGGAGCUCAACUCCGGAACUGCCCAUUGAAACUGUUUAGCUUGAGGACGAGAGAGGUGAGUGGAAUUCCCAGUGUAGAGGUGAAAUUCGUAGAUAUUCGCAAGAACACCAGUGGCGAAGGCGGCUCACUGGCCCAUAACUGACGCUGAGGAGCGAAAGCAUGGGGAGCGAACAGG